rnacentral:lncRNA from 1 species
GAAUUUUUGGAUGCAUUUCCAAUUUGUUUGAGAAUUUCCUUUCUGUUUGACCAAUUGUGGACUUUUUGUGAGUCAUGAUCUUAAAUGAUUUGUGAAAUUCUUGAUAUGUAUUGGAUGGACUUGAAAUUAAUUUGUUUGAGAAUUUCCUUUCUGUUUGACCAAUUGUGGACUUUUUGUGAGUCAUGAUCUUAAAUGAUUUGUGAAAUUCUUGAUAUGUAUUGGAUGGACUUGAAAUUUUGUGGAGUG